rnacentral:rRNA from 1 species
GUUCAAAGCUCGUAGUUGGAGUUCUGCCAGGUGCCGCCUGUCCGUUUAGUGGUGAGUACGUGGCGCGCAUUUGGCCCUUUAAGGGGAGCGUAUCUGCACUUCAUUGUGUGGUGCGGGAUCCUUGACUUUUACUUUGAGGAAAUAGGAGUGUUCCAAGCAGGCUCUCGUCGUGCACAGCUCAGCAUGGAAUAAUAGCAUUGGACCUCGAUUCUAAGCUGUUGGUUGCCAGAAGCGAGGUAAUGAUGAAGAGGGAUA